UACGGAGGGUGCAAGCGUUAUCCGGAUUCACUGGGUUUAAAGGGUGCGUAGGCGGGCAGGUAAGUCAGUGGUGAAAUCUCCGGGCUUAACCCGGAAACUGCCGUUGAUACUAUCUGUCUUGAAUAUCGUGGAGGUAAGCGGAAUAUGUCAUGUGGCGGUGAAAUGCUUAGAUAUGACAUAGAACACCCAUUGCGAAGGCAGCUUACUACACGAUCAUUGACGCUGAGGCACGAAAGCGUGGGGAGCAAACAGG
rnacentral:rRNA from 1 species